CACAACUGGGCCUGCGCCCUCUGCAGCCCGCCUGCCACUGGAGAAGCCCGCCCACUGCAACAACCAUCCUACCAACCACAACUAAGACCCAAGGCAGCCAAAUAAAAAGAGUGAGAAGGAUGAAGAAAGUGCCUUGGACAACCACAACAACUCACAUGCAACCAAAACUAAGUGAUCGCCCCAAAUACCAUCAACAGUGUUUUCUGUCAAAACAUUUCAAAUACCCCUCAUACUCCCGAGCAAUUUUAAAGCUGCAAGAAACCAGCCAAAAAGGAAGAACAGAAAGACUCCUCCCAGCAUCUAUACAGUUGGUAAACCAAGGAACUCUCAGCAGAAGUGACCUGCCUCUGACCUCCAGCUUUCCUCAUCUCACCACCACUGCUGCCAUUUGAAAAGAACCUA